rnacentral:rRNA from 1 species
UACGGAGGAUGCAAGCGUUAUCCGGAAUGAUUGGGCGUAAAGCGUCUGUAGGUGGUUUUUAAAGUCUUCUGUCAAAGAUCAGGGCUUAACCCUGGGCCGGCAGAAGAAACUUAAAAGCUUGAGUUCGGCAGGGGAGACUGGAAUUCCUGGUGUAGCGGUGAAAUGCGCAGAUAUCAGGAGGAACACCGGUGGCGAAGGCGGGUCUCUGGGCCGAUACUGACGCUGAGGAGCGAAAGCGUGGGGAGCGAACAGG